rnacentral:ncRNA from 2 species
CGGAAGUGUUCCGGAGAGUUUCGGGUAAAACCGGAGUGCCGGAGGGGUUACCGGAACCCCCCGGGCGAAUUAAUGGGCCACCAUGG